rnacentral:rRNA from 1 species
GACGUAGGGUGCAAGCGUUGUCCGGAUUUAUUGGGCGUAAAGAGCUCGUAGGCGGUUUGUUGCGUCGACUGUGAAAACCCGCGGCUUAACCGCGGGCUUGCAGUUGAUACGGGCAGGCUAGAGUUCGGUAGGGGAGACUGGAAUUCCUGGUGUAGCGGUGAAAUGCGCAGAUAUCAGGAGGAACACCAGUGGCGAAGGCGGUGCUCUGGGCCGGAACUGACGCUGAGGAGCGAAAGCGUGGGGAGCAAACAGG